UAAUAUUAAACAUUGAGAAGAUUUGACUAAGAGAAUUAAAUUAAUUUUUAAUCAAUCUUUACUUUGAUAAAAAAAAAAAGACUAAAAGCUUCAACACUUGAAAGGCAGAUAUGCAGGAAGGUCAACCCUGAAAUCGACGAGCGGCGUCCAAGUGCAAGAAAAACAAUGUCUUUAAUAUCUUCGAAUCCAUUUUUUUUUUUAAAAAAAUUAUGUUCUUUAGAAGCAGGUUUCUCUCAUUUCCUCUGGUGAUUGGAGCUGUUGUCAUUGGAGUUGUUUCAUGGAAGGCAAUAUUUGGACCCCAACUUGAUGAUUACUGGAAAAAGAAGCUUGUGGAAGAGGCAUCUACAAAAGGGGACUGACACAAGCUCAACCUAGCAGAUAGCGCUUGGAAUUUCUUCAUGUAUAAUUCCUUCAUAACAAGAGCAGAGAAAUCAAUUUUCCAACACUGUAGAGGCUUAUUAUGUGUUCAUGAUACUGUUUUCAAUUGAUAAAAUGUAGAAUCUGGGCACAUGAUACUGUAUUUUAGUUAAGAUGGGGUCCCAGCUACAUCUGUAAGAGGAUAAGAUAAAUAUUGUUUCUGGUCAUAAUCGGUGAAGUUUACCAUGUUAUUGAACUUCUCUGAGAAGAAGCUUCAAUUGUGCCAGAUCAAUCAACUAACUUUGUGUGCAGAAGACA